AUUGAACGCUGGCGGCAUGCUUUACACAUGCAAGUCGAACGGUAACAGGCCGCAAGGUGCUGACGAGUGGCGAACGGGUGAGUAAUGCAUCGGAACGUGCCCAGUCGCGGGGGAUAACGCAGCGAAAGCUGUGCUAAUACCGCAUACGAUCUAUGGAUGAAAGCGGGGGACCGUAAGGGCUCGCGCGAUUGGAGCGGACGAUGUCAGAUUAGGUAGUUGGUGGGGGGAAGGCCUACCAAGCCGACGAUCUGUAGCUGGUCUGAGAGGACGACCAGCCACACUGGGACUGAGACACGGCCCAGACUCCUACGGGAGGCAGCAGUGGGGAAUUUUGGACAAUGGGCGCAAGCCUGAUCCAGCAAUGCCGCGUGCAGGAAGAAGGCCUUCGGGUUGUAAACUGCUUUUGUACGGAACGAAACGGUCUGGGUUAAUACCCUGGGCUAAUGACGGUACCGUAAGAAUAAGCACCGGCUAACUACGUGCCAGCCGCCGCGGUAACAC
rnacentral:rRNA from 1 species